GGCUAGAAUAAUGCUUGGGUUUUGGUUAUUGCCUAAGUGUGCUAAAGCCUCCCAAGAGUAACUGCUGACCUUAUUUGCUGGUGGUGGCCCUCAUGGCACAGUCAGUCACCAGGUUAGUGAUAUGG
ensembl:snoRNA